rnacentral:rRNA from 1 species
UACGUAGGGGGCAAGCGUUGUCCGGAUUCAUUGGGCGUAAAGAGCUCGUAGGCGGUUCAGUAAGUCGGGGGUGAAAGCUCCGAGCUCAACUCGGAGAGGCCACCCGAUACUGCUGUGACUUGAGUCCAGUAGAGGAGCGUGGAAUUCCUGGUGUAGCGGUGAAAUGCGCAGAUAUCAGGAGGAACACCAGCAGCGAAGGCGGCGCUCUGGGCUGGAACUGACGCUGAGGAUCGAAAGCGUGGGUAGCAAACAGG